GACGAACGCUGGCGGCGUGCUUAACACAUGCAAGUCGAACGGUGAAGGGAUCAGCUUGCUGGUUCUGGAUGAGUGGCGAACGGGUGAGUAACACGUGAGUAACCUGCCCCCUUCUUCCGGAUAACCGCAUGAAAGUGUGGCUAAUACGGGAUAUUCUGCGCCUGCUGCAUGGUGGGUGUGGGAAAGAUAUUGUUUCGGUGGGGGAUGGGCUCGCGGCCUAUCAGCUUGUUGGUGGGGUGAUGGCCUACCAAGGCGGUGACGGGUAGCCGGCCUGAGAGGGUGGACGGUCACACUGGGACUGAGACACGGCCCAGACUCCUACGGGAGGCAGCAGUGGGGAAUAUUGCACAAUGGGCGCAAGCCUGAUGCAGCGACGCCGCGUGAGGGAUGGAGGCCUUCGGGUUGUGAACCUCUUUCGCCAGUGAAGCAGGCCUGUCCCUUGUGGGUGGGUUGACGGUAGCUGGAUAAGAAGCGCCGGCUAACUACGUG
rnacentral:rRNA from 1 species